GUAGGUGGCAAGCGUUGUCCGGAAUUAUUGGGCGUAAAGCGCGCGCAGGUGGUUCUUUAAGUCUGAUGUGAAAGCCCCCCGGGCUCAACCGGGGAGGGUCAUUGGAAACUGGGGAACUUGAGUGCAGGAGAGGAAAGUGGAAUUCCACGUGUAGCGGUGAAAUGCGUAGAUAUGUGGAGGAACACCAGUGGCGAAGGCGACUUUCUGGCCUGUAACUGACACUGAGGCGCGAAAGCGUGGGGAGCAAACAGGAUUAGAUACCCUGGUAGUCCACGCCGUAAACGAUGAGUGCUAAGUGUUGGGGGGUUUCCGCCCCUCAGUGCUGCAGCUAACGCAUUAAGCACUCCGCCUGGGGAGUACGGUCGCAAAGACUG
rnacentral:rRNA from 1 species